CUUACAAGUGUUACCUUAAGGCUGUCAGAGAACUUUGCUCAAAGCAUACUAUAUAUUUAAUGUUUGCGGAUGAAAUACAAAGUGUAUUAAAAUGACUAGGAAGAAUGUUGGCAUGUGACUGGGAAGGUGUACGCCCGAUGUCGUUGCUGUGAAAAGCUACCAUAAACUUUUGAUCAUCUUCGGUUAGAGUACAGGUUGGUAAAGGAAGUGUGGCCUAGGGUGAAUCGAUGGUGCAGUGAACGAGACAAUGAAUCCUAGGUUGGUUUAGGGAGCAAAUGCUGGUAAAUGGGGGCAGCAGCCACCGAGGUUGUUUGUGGCAGCGUGUGAGGUGCUUCGAGCUGCAAAUGGUAGUGAAAUAAUGUCGGAUAGUAGGGUUGACGACUGCCAUAAGACACUUGGUCAAUGGUUUCCAAAUUAUUUUGACCAUAUUUCCCCCGGUAAACUUCUUUUAAUUGGGUGUCGUGGAUCUGGUACAAGUUCCAUUUUCAACCUGCAAUUAUAGUCUUUCUCAUUACAGGAAUUCUAUUUCUGCUCAUUAUAAGAUGGUUGUAUAUUCACACGAUGAAAUGUUUUUAUUAGGCGAAAAUCAUGUAAAGAGAUCCCUUUCACUGAUGAAGAGCGUGAAAGUAUAAAGUUCAUAAUCCAGAGCAACGUCUAUGGCUACCAAGGCCUAAAACAUAUUCUUAUUGGCUUUUUAAAGCCAUGGUGGCUGGUAAUUCGGAAGAUAUAUUUUCCAGUUGUGACACGUGAAUAUUCACCGGUAGUUGAAGAACUAUGGAAUCAUCCGGCAGUAAAAAUCAAUUUCGUCGUAGAAGGCUCACUUACUGGAUCAUGAUCUUCGCUUUUGUCCAUUUAUUGCUUUCCCAUCUUUCGAGUUUCAAAUCCAUUAUUACCAGCAUCUCUUUGGCUGCAGCUGUCAUGUCCAUCAGGUACCUUACAACCUUACACGUGUAUGCGCAAACGACCCCAGUCUAGAAUAAGUCUAGAAUAGACUGAUGUGCAGGUGUAAGAUAUAAAUAUAAUAGUACUUGCUAUUUUUACAUUGUAUAGUUCAUUUGGACGAAUUGGUGAAAUCGUCGACAAGGGAACUACUUGUAAGCGUGUGGUUUGAAUUCAUUGAUUUAUAUAUAUGAAGUAGCUUACACCUUAAUUUUUUAUGUUUAAACCUUUUCUGUUCUUUUAUUUAGGUUGAAUAUAACGUUGAUGGGAGGGAACUUAAUGAUUUUUUUGGUGGUUUAAGAUCUCACCAUAAGUUUCUCAUUUUUUAUUCUCGCCAAGAUCUGUGUUUCGAGCUGGUUUUUUGAGUAAUUUUAUCGAGGCUGUAUGAAGAACAUGUAGUAGCCCUGAGUAGAAUAAAUAUGGUUCUUCAUCUACAUCACAAACACAAGAUAAAAAACCUAACAAAAUGGUCAUGAGUUCACUAACUGUGGAAACUGAGGAUUCUUUUUCCAGUUUAUUUGAAUACGCUGCUAACAACGACUUCGAGGGUUUCAAAUGGUCAAUCGAGAACGACCCGUCAGCAAUCGACGAGGUUGGGCUGUGGUAUGUACGUAAGAAGGGU